UAUGUGAUCGUCUCUCGCAUAUCAAUAAGCGGAGGAAAAGAAACUAACAAGGAUUCCCCUAGUAACGGCGAGUGAAGCGGGAAGAGCUCAAAUUUGAAAUCUUAAAGGGUUUCCCUUUACGAAUUGUAGUUUAAAGAAGUGUUUUCUGUUGAGGUUUUGGUAAAAGUUCUUUGGAAUAGGACAUCAUAGAGGGUGAGAAUCCCGUAUUUGACCUUUACUUUCAACUUUGUGAUACACUUUCAAAGAGUCGGAUUGUUUGGGAAUGCAGUCCAAAAUGGGUGGUAAACUUCAUCUAAAGCUAAAUAUUGGCGAGAGACCGAUAGCGAACAAGUACCGUGAGGGAAAGAUGAAAAGAACUUUGAAAAGAGAGUUAAACAGUACGUGAAAUUGUCAAAAGGGAAGCGUUUGACACCAGUGUUGUUUUUCUGAAAAUCAAUUAAAGAACUGUUUAUGCUAAGUUGUUUAGACUUUAUCAGCUAACUGUUUAGUUUUGAGCUUUUCUUUAAUGCACUUUUCAGUUAACAAGUCAACAUCAAUUUCUUUUGCUGUAAAAAAGCUCGAGGAAGGUGGCUUGAGAUUCGUCUUAAGUGUUUAUAGCCUCUUGCCUAUGCAGUCGGAGAGAUUGAGGUCUGCAGCGUAGAUCCUUCGGGGCUAAAUGCAUUUGUGCUAAGUUAUAGCAUUUUAUAGACAACUUGUUGACUAUGAUUUGUCUUGUAGCUUACUCGCUUAUGUUAUUUUACCUACGCUUAGGAUGUUGAGUAGCGACAUACGCAC
rnacentral:rRNA from 1 species